GGGGAUGUGGCUCAGUGGUAGAGCGCUCGCUUUGCAUGUGAGAGGCCCCGGGUUCAAACCCCGGUAUCUCCA
rnacentral:tRNA from 1 species